GGCCUAACACAUGCAAGUCGAACGGUAACAGGAAUCAGCUUGCUGCUUUGCUGACGAGUGGCGGACGGGUGAGUAAUGUCUGGGAAACUGCCUGAUGGAGGGGGAUAACUACUGGAAACGGUAGCUAAUACCGCAUAACGUCGCAAGACCAAAGAGGGGGACCUUCGGGCCUCCUGCCAUCGGAUGUGCCCAGAUGGGAUUAGCUAGUAGGUGGGGUAAAGGCUCACCUAGGCGACGAUCCCUAGCUGGUCUGAGAGGAUGACCAGCCACACUGGAACUGAGACACGGUCCAGACUCCUACGGGAGGCAGCAGUGGGGAAUAUUGCACAAUGGGCGCAAGCCUGAUGCAGCCAUGCCGCGUGUAUGAAGAAGGCCUUCGGGUUGUAAAGUACUUUCAGCGGGGAGGAAGGGAGUAAAGUUAAUACCUUUGCUCAUUGACGUUACCCGCAGAAGAAGCACCGGCUAACUCCGUGCCAGCAGCCGCGGUAAUACGGAGGGUGCAAGCGUUAAUCGGAAUUACUGGGCGUAAAGCGCACGCAGGCGGUUUGUUAAGUCAGAUGUGAAAUCCCCGGGCUCAACCUGGGAACUGCAUCUGAUACUGGCAAGCUUGAGUCUCGUAGAGGGGGGUAGAAUUCCAGGUGUAGCGGUGAAAUGCGUAAAGAUCUGGAGGAAUACCGGUGGCGAAGGCGGCCCCCUGGACGAAGACUGACGCUCAGGUGCGAAAGCGUGGGGAGCAAACAGGAUUAGAUACCCUGGUAGUCCACGCCGUAAACGAUGUCGACUUGGAGGUUGUGCCCUUGAGGCGUGGCUUCCGGAGCUAACGCGUUAAGUCGACCGCCUGGGGAGUACGGCCGCAAGGUUAAAACUCAAAUGAAUUGACGGGGGCCCGCACAAGCGGUGGAGCAUGUGGUUUAAUUCGAUGCAACGCGAAGAACCUUACCUGGUCUUGACAUCCACGGAAGUUUUCAGAGAUGAGAAUGUGCCUUCGGGAACCGUGAGACAGGUGCUGCAUGGCUGUCGUCAGCUCGUGUUGUGAAAUGUUGGGUUAAGUCCCGCAACGAGCGCAACCCUUAUCCUUUGUUGCCAGCGGUCCGGCCGGGAACUCAAAGGAGACUGCCAGUGAUAAACUGGAGGAAGGUGGGGAUGACGUCAAGUCAUCAUGGCCCUUACGACCAGGGCUACACACGUGCUACAAUGGCGCAUACAAAGAGAAGCGACCUCGCGAGAGCAAGCGGACCUCAUAAAGUGCGUCGUAGUCCGGAUUGGAGUCUGCAACUCGACUCCAUGAAGUCGGAAUCGCUAGUAAUCGUGGAUCAGAAUGCCACGGUGAAUACGUUCCCGGGCCUUGUACACACCGCCCGUCACACCAUGGGAGUGGGUUGCAAAAGAAGUAGGUAGCUUAACCUUCGGGAGGGCGCUUACCACUUUGUGAUUCGUGACUGGGGUGAAGUCA
rnacentral:rRNA from 1 species